CAAUAGCGUAUAUUAAAGUUGUUGCAGUUAAAAAGCUCGUAGUUGGAUUUCUGAUCGAGACAUCAGGUCGGGUCCGAGAGGAUCAUGUACUUUGAUUUUGUUUUGAUCAUCCUUGGGGAGAGCAUUUCUGGCAUUCGGUUGUCGGGAUUGGGAUCCUCAUCGUUUACUGUGAAAAAAUUAGAGUGUUCAAAGCAGGCCUCGGCCUCUGAAUACAUUAGCAUGGAAUAAUAAGAUAGGACUUUGGUGGUCUAUUUUGUUGGUUUGCACGCCAAAGUAAUGAUUAAUAGGGAUAGUUGGGGGUAUUCGUAUUCAAUUGUCAGAGGUGAAAUUCUUGGAUUUAUGGAAGACGAACUACUGCGAAAGCAUUUACCAAGGAUGUUUUCAUUAA
rnacentral:rRNA from 1 species